rnacentral:rRNA from 1 species
AUGGAUGUCAAUAGAGCACCUGGCCCUGAUAAUAUUCCUGCGGAGUUUUAUCAACAUUGCUGGAACAUUGUCAAAAGUGACAUUAUGCGGCUGUUCAGCCACUUCCAUGCUGGAACGCUUGACGUGCAGCGCCUUAAUUAUGGGGUGAUUACUCUUCUCCCAAAAGUGUCAGGUGCGGAUCUUAUUCAGCAAUUUCGGCCUAUUUGUCUCCUUAGGUGCCCAUAUAAACUGAUUACUAAGACUAUGGAUCGGAGAGUAGAAAAAUAUGCUGACAAACUGAUAAGCUUGUCACAAAAUGCUUUUGUAAAAGGGAGGAAUAUUAUGGAUGGGAUCAUGACUUUACAUGAGCUCCUCAAUUACACCCAUGUCAAGAAAAAAGUAGGGGUGGUGCUUAAGCUCGACUUCGAGAAAGCAUACGACAAGGUUAACUGGGAGUUUCUGUUGGAUUGCCACAUAAUGAGGGGCUUCAAUGAAACCUGGUGUGGGUGGGUGAAUCAAAUCCUAUACAAUGGUACUGUUAGUAUCAAGCUUAACAACUCAGUGGGCCCAUAUUUUCAGUGCCAAAGGGGUGCGCCAAGGAGACCCCCACUCCCCCUUUUUGUUCAAACUAGCUGUAGAAUGCCUCAACAAGAUGAUCUGUAA